ACGGGCUUCAGGUGUGCACGGGCUUCAGGGCAGCCUGUAAGUGUUUGCCUUUUUUUUUGUAGUGGACACCUGUGCACACAAGUCUGUGUUCUUGGGGACCUGUAAGACAUUUCAGGGAGUAAGGUCAUGCCCUACUCAAGCGUGCAAUGUGAGGUGUUUGUCUACGUGCAUGUUCCCCCACAUGUGUCUGAUCAUGCCUGCAGGCAUCUGCCUCUAAACUCAGGCCAUUCCUCCCAGAAACAUGACUUCAGUCUCUACUUUGUACUGCACAGUGACUGGGAAGUGUGGAGAGACUCAAGCCUUGAUCCUGACCCACGAGCCUAUUCAUCUAGGUGUAAUCAUCACACACCAAUUAUGAAUGACAGUGGGGCACCUGAGGCAUAAGACACAGGGCCACCCAAUGAGACAGCAGUGGAGCUGUGGAGCCCGGGGGACAGCCGUUUGGGGGACUGGAAUGCAUUAGGUGGGCACUAUGUUGAUGCAAACCCGGCAUAUUCUUUGAUGGAAAGGCGAUGGGGGGCUCAGAGGUCCAAGGAGAAAGACAAAUUCCAGCCCACAAGUGGGUCUAGGCUGGGAUAUGGGGUAGCCAAGGACAGAUCCAGGACUGGCUGAGCUUCAUGCCUCCGUUCCAGGACCAUCUUUCUCAUCUUCUCCCUCUGUGCAGCUUACCCAGGAGGAAACAGAUCCCUAUUUAUUCCUUUGGAGCUGUUUUGCCCUCCAGGUGUGCCUCCUCUCCUCUUCUGGGCUCCAGGGACAGAGUUCAAAGGGCACAGUGCCCCCACUCCCGGCUCAACUGCCGUCUCCACAAACUGGAAGACGGAAGCCCUUUGUCCAAAAUGAAGUCUGAAGGCCCCUGUUGGCAUCACCACCAGACUGACUACCAAUCCUCACGGACUCUGCACGUCUCCCGAAGCAAAGGAACAAAGGAACGGAGUGGAUGCAUAAGCAGGGUGGGUUUGAAUGGAGCCAAGCUGAUGCAUGAGACAGCUUUUCUUUAGAGUCUAGCUACACCUUUGUUCUUCUUCCUGCCUUGGGCUUCUGUGGAACGGGGAUUUAAGAUGAGAACUGUGGUUUUGAACUCUGCUCUGAGAUCCUACCUGUCUUAUGGGGAAACCAGAGCCAUUGUAGCAAACCUCUUUGGGUGCCCGUGUGUGUGGUUGUUCCUUGCUGUCCUACCUAUGCAGAAGGCUCCCUAGAGGAGCCUCUCCCCACUCGAGCCUGCCAGCUCCCAUGGACUCUUCAAGGUGACCUCUGUCUGGAGAUGAGGACAAUGUGCCUGUCUGUUUUUCAAAUAUUUGGAGCCCGCUAAAGACCAACACAUUUUUUAAAGUGUGUAUAAUUUGAGGGCAAUUUGAUCCAUAUGUUUCUGAUUCCCUUGCACUCAAAUCAUCAAAAUAUUGAUUUUUAAGAGCCAUUUGAUGUCUAAGGAACCUUUUUAAUAAGCUUUUAAAGCUCUUUAAACCCGGAGCCUGGAGCCGGUGCCAGGGCCCCAGCUGUCCCAGGGCCAGAGCACGCCACCCCCUCCCCCAGGUCAGAAUCAUUUGGACCUGAGUCUCCCUUCUCUUCUGCAUGCCCAGCCUCUGCCUGACCUCCCUGUCCCCCCUAGAACUACCCAGGCGUCUCCACUCCUUUUCUCUUCAUAGACUCCUCUCGUGCAAAGUCGCCAGUGUGACUUUGAGACAUAGACCAAGAGGGACAGCCAUGGUAUGUAUUUACUUUUGAAACUACAUAGCCUUUUAUUGCAAAAUGUUCUAUGAUGGAUCCACCCAACCCUACUGAGGGAUGUUUAGGCCAUGUCCCCCAUCGUAUACCUCUGCGUGUGUUUUUAAUUAUGUCUUUUGGAUACAUUUCUAGGAAUGAAAACACUGGGUGAAAGAGGGCACACCUUCAUGUCUUUUUAUCCACAGCAUUUUAUCCCCUGAGAGAUUAUACCAGUUUAUACUUCCACAGAUCUCCCAGUCCCCAGUAGGAACUCA